rnacentral:lncRNA from 13 species
AGGUCCUGCAUUACCUCCUGCCUCCAAUAUAUUUCCUGGGACUGGAGGAAAACCUGCUGCACUUGGUGAGCUAUCAACCAUUUUGACAUGUUUGUUAAAACCUAAAGUUCCAAUUUGGAUCCCAAUUNNNNNNNNNNGUUGACAUGAUAAGAAAUAACAUAUUUACCUCUUUUAUAUUGUAGUCAUGCAAUGUACGUUUAGUUUAUUAUGUUAUUACUAGCAAUAUUGAUUUUUAAAAAUCCACUUUAUUUAAUAAUAUAUUUGUGAACCACCUGCAGUACAUGCGUGGACACCUAGGGCGGUGCAGUACAUGCGUGGACACCUAGGGGGGUGCAGUACAUGCGUGGACACCUAGGGCGGUGCAGUACAUGCGUGGACACCUAGGGGGGUGCAGUACAUGCGUGGACACCUAGGGGGGUGCAGUACAUGCGUGGACACCUAGGGGGGUGCAGACCCCAGUUUGAAGACCCCAUGUAAUAUAUAGACACGCCCUUUAUAAUGUAAUAAUUCAAUGGGACAUAUCAGAUUAUCCAUUUGUUGUGACUCUCUCUCUUUCCUCUCUCUCUCUCUCCUCUCCUCUCUCUCUGUCUCUCUCUCCACUCUCCUCUCUCUCUCUAGAGGAAGCUGUUAGAGAUCUAGAAGAUGGUUUGAACAUUGGAGAAUCUUCUUCAGGGAGCAUUGCAUUGGAAGGUCCUGCAUUACCUCCUGCCUCCAAUAUAUUUCCUGGGACUGGAGGAAAACCUGCUGCACUUGCAUCAGACGAGGAAUCGGUUGGAAAGAUCACAUACUACACCAAUAACCAUCUUGGAAAAGGUGCCGAUGGAAUUGUGUUCAGGUAAACCAGCUUAAACGUUAUUGUGGAAAUGUGUUUGUAACCC